rnacentral:rRNA from 1 species
GAAGGAAAGUUGAAAAGAACUUUGAAGAGAGAGUUCAAAAGGGCGUGAAACCGUUUAGAAGCAAACGGAUAAAGCCGCAAGGUAGUUGCAAAAAUCAGCUAGGCAAAUGGGUGAACACUAGUUGGUCGAUCGAUUAAACGACUUUCUAUGUUAUUAGCCUCUGUCUGGUGCACUUUUUGCGAUGAAGCAUUGCGACCAAGGUGAAUUCUGACGGAAGAGUGAGCUUGAAGGCAGAGACGAGUUUUCUGUAACUAGGUUCCUUGAAAGUCAGUACAUAACUUUGGUUCCCCUAGCAGCGGCCGUAAGGAGUAGUGAAAUUUGGUGGCUGGCUUGGUCGAAAUGUCUGAUUCUGCUUGCAGGGUUGGGCGAUUCCUAGGCUAGUAGCUGAGUGAUCUACUAGCUGCGAAGGCUCGGCAAUGUCAGUGGCGGCGACUUAUCCGACCCGUCUUGAAACACGGACCAAGGAGUCUAACAUGUGCGCGAGUUAUUGAGUGGUAAACUCAAAGGCGAAAUAAAAGUAAAGACAGCGCUAGCUGGCUUAAAUAUGAUCCUCGGCUUCGGCUGGGGCGGAGUAUUGUCCCAUCUAAGUGGUUCGUCCACUGGGUGGAGAAAGAGCGCAAAUGUUGGGACCCGAAAGAUGGUGAACUAUGCCUGAGCAGAACGAAGCCAGAGGAAACUCUGGUGGAGGUUCUUCUAGUAUUAGACGUGCAAAUCGAUUCGUGCAGACUU